rnacentral:lncRNA from 1 species
CGAAGUCGAGAUGUAAUUUUUCCACUGAGUUUUUACGAAAUCGACCUGUUCUGCAUCGUCUUGUUGUUCUUCCGGUCAAUACAGAGCCUGAAGCUUGCAUCGUUUGGUCAGAAUCCUUCGUCUUCUCUGGUAAGAAUGUUUCUUUGUUCGUCAAUUUGUUCGUCGUUUCGUUUUCUCCCUUUCUGACUGUUUUGCGUUAUUAACCGGAGAAGAUUGUGUCUGUGUCGGCCUUCCAUACAUACAUUAUGAAGAAUGUUCCUCAAAACAACAAAUUGUCGAUUGUGGGGUUUAUACGUUGAAGAUUAAUGAAUGUUUGGCUCUUGAAUGUGUCAUGGAAGUCCUUAAUGAUGGAUCUGUUGUUGGGAUUCAGAUGAAAUAUGAAGCUGCGAUGAUGCAGGAGUUACCGGCGAAAUGGUUUACCGACACACUUCAGCUGAGAUGAUAUAACUAUACUUUGAUAGGACCAUAUUUUUGUGUUGUUGAUGGUCCUUUGAUAAUUUGGUAGAUUGGUCGCAUGGACAAACCCUCCCUGCAAACAUGAUAUUAGGCUGAUUUUGUAAACUAAAUGCAGGUUUAAACCUAAUGGUAGAUUUAUUUAACAAUUGGUAGAGUUGUUAUAUUUUCUAAGAGUAAACUAACGGUAGAGUUGUUUCAAUUAAUCUCUAACGAAUGGUAGAGUUGUUAUAAUAUGAAUGUUAUGAAUUAAUGGUAGAGUUGUUAUACAAUUGGAAACCUGAAUGGUAAGUUUUCUGUAA